AUGUCACCUCACCCCCUAUAGAAUAUACUACACUAUAUUCUGUUUUCUGUCUUCAUAUUUUCCGUACUGGCUCACCACUAUACAAGUUUGAGGACACCCUGCUUCCCUGUACCCUUUCCUGACCCUAUGUGUUGCUUCAGCGGUCCUGACCCUUUUUGAUAUACCAAGUGACUAUUAGCGGACAGGAGACAAAGCCAACAUGUAUAAC